GGAGGAGUGUCGCUCGCACCGCGCUGUGUGGCUGAAGGAGGCGCCACGGCGGAGCUGCACUCAGCUCCUCAUCCACUCACCUGCCUCCAGUUCACACACAAGCGAGGGCACGAGAGUUGAAAGAACGACUGAAAACUGAAAGAAACCGGAGAAGAGCGAAAGAUAAUUAGGGGAGAAAGAAACGACAGCGGAAACUCAAAUCGAGAGAGACAAAUCAAAGAACAACAGCAGUAAAAGUAAAGACUUUCGGUUCAGUCAGAUGCUGAUUCAGUAGCUUCAUGCUGUGAUUCCUCAGACUGAUUCAAACUGAAAAGUGAGUCUUUUUACGAGUCAUUUCAAGAAUCUCUUAUACAAGUCAUUAAUUCAUGCUGUGUUUUUGCUUGCAGCCAGCAAAGACAGCUCAAUAGAAACUAAAGCAUUGUUGUGGCUUUAUUUUACAUCACUCAAUUUGCAUAAUAUUUAGACAUAACACCACUGUAAGUAAAACCAUGGUCUUUUGGAAACUGCUACGAUGAUAAUUCCAUCAUAUUCUUUGAAGUACCUAGUACAUACUGAAAACAAUAGCCAUACACUACUAUUGUAGGCUGUAUAUCAAAAUAGUAUCCUGUACCAUGGUAAAGCACAGUACUGGUUUUUAGUGUUUAUCCCAAUAUACUCAUAGAGCUCUCUAAAAUGAUCACCCCAUCCCCGAACCACAAGACCAGCCAUCCAUCGCUCCCCUGUCCCAUCUUAAUUCCCCAUCAUGUCAUCAGUGCACACUUAAUGCUUGUUGUCACGGUGACUGAGCUUGUCUGGUUCCUCUCAGUUUCGCCUAUUCUGGCUCAUCAAACGCUGACACGGAAAUGCUGGCACUUAACCACCCGUACCUGAUGAUAUGUGAUAGUGCUGGUGGCCCUGGGGCCCACGUGGUGUGCCUUUGCUGUCACAUCAAGUUAGCCUGCUACAGAUGUGAUGCUCAUUAGCAUUAGCCACACGCUAAUUCAUCAGCCACACAUUCCACUGUUUGAUUGGUUGUAGUCACAGAUCAAAUUUGAAGUGUUAUCUGAUUGCUGCUUCUGGUAACCAAGGAGACAGUGUGUGCGUUUUGUAGGGGGCAUUGUGUUUGACACGUUGAAUGUGUGUUUGUGUUAAAGGUUGAUGCUUGAAGGUUGAUUAGCUUUCCAAUUAGCCUUCAUGUUAUGUUACUGUGUAAUGUAUCUUUGCGUGUGCAUGCGUGCGUGUAUCUGAAUGUUUACAGUUGUGUUUAAAGACAUGCCGAAAUGCCCUCUCCCCAGUUUCGCACAUGCUCAAUUCCAAUUUCAACGUCAAUCUGACUUAAUUAGCAUGACAAUUACGGACUGCUGCCAAGGCAAUCAGUUGAAUCAAUAAUGCAGUUAUGAAUACAUGAAUAUUAUAGACAAAUUAUCCAUAUUCAUCUGUCUCAUUUUCUCUCUCUUGCUAAG
ensembl:lncRNA